AUUGAACGCUGGCGGCAGGCCUAACACAUGCAAGUCGAACGGUAACAGGAAGCAGCUUGCUGCUUUGCUGACGAGUGGCGGACGGGUGAGUAAUGUCUGGGAAACUGCCCGAUGGAGGGGGAUAACUACUGGAAACGGUAGCUAAUACCGCAUAACGUCGCAAGACCAAAGAGGGGGACCUUAGGGCCUCUUGCCAUCGGAUGUGCCCAGAUGGGAUUAGCUAGUAGGUGGGGUAACGGCUCACCUAGGCGACGAUCCCUAGCUGGUCUGAGAGGAUGACCAGCCACACUGGAACUGAGACACGGUCCAGACUCCUACGGGAGGCAGCAGUGGGGAAUAUUGCACAAUGGGCGCGAGCCUGAUGCAGCCAUGCCGCGUGUAUGAAGAAGGCCUUCGGGUUGUAAAGUACUUUCAGCGGGGAGGAAGGGAGUAAAGUUAAUACCUUUGCUCAUUGACGUUACCCGCAGAAGAAGCACCGGCUAACUCCGUG
rnacentral:rRNA from 1 species